rnacentral:lncRNA from 1 species
CCACCAAUUUAGGCCAAACCAAAAGAUAGCACAUAACAUAUAAUUAAUCCAUAUAUUGUUCAUAUGUAUGUAGAUAUAAGUCCAUAUAUCUAACAUAAAUCUCUUACAUGACUCUUUGUUAUUAGCUAACUCUACAACAAUAACAGACAACAACAGCAACAUGCCCAGUAUAAUUCUACAAGUAGGGUCGGGAUAGGAUAUAGUGUAUACGUAGACCUUAGCUCUACCUUGUGGAGAUCGAGAGGUUGUUUCCGAAGAUCCUCGGCUCAAGGUAUUAACUAACUUUGUUCUUCCUGUAACAAAGACUUCAUAUCACACCACAUAUCUAGCAGAUGGUCUGCAAAUUUAUUCAACAUAACCGCAUAUAUCUAUCCAAAAAAAACAAAUUGCACCAAAAUGAAUAGGAAAUUAGCCCCAUCAACAUGUAAAUCACAUUGACAAUAGAUAAGGAAAUUGACCUAAGGAAAUGAGAACGGUAUCCUAAAGCUCAAUGUUUUCCUGUUUAUGGGACCCUUAUAGUAAAUAAUUUCAACAAUAAGCUGCAUUGCAUAAAACUGUCAAAUCAUGUCUAAAUAAAAAGAGCAGCUCUAUUUUUGUAUGACUGACAUACAAUAAUUACUAAAUUAUAACUAAACAGUUUUCUGACAUAACUACUUCUACUCCAACAUCUUAAAACUAUCUUAGAGUUUUGGCAUUUACCCAUUAAAAAUUAAAAAAAGACACCUGAUACUAAAUGCAAAUAGCAACACAUCUCUUUUCAGGAUAUUCCUCAAUAACCCCAGAUUUUAGUUUCAAGGUUAAACGAAGAAAAAUGGGGCAAAAAGAUAGAAACAAAUUUCAAUCUUGAGCAGUUCUAACACAAAAAAAAAAGAGGCUUUUUCUUCAUAAAAUCUUAUAAAAGAGAGAGCAUUCAAGUAAAAGAUGGCAACAAGAAACAAAUGGGGAUUAAAAAGUUUCAAUCUUUUUUGACAAAGGCACAUACCCACUUUUAUUUUCAAGGUAAAACAAAGAAAAAAAAUUAAAAAGCUGAAAAAGGGUCAAUCUUUAGAAGUUCUAGCACAAAAGAAAAGGCAUUUUCUUGAUAAAUUCUUAUAAAAGAGAUAUGUUUCAAGUAAAUUAUGAAAUAAACUAAUAAAUAAACAAAUGGGAUAAAAAAGAUUAAAUCUUUUGAGACAGGAACAUACCCAAUUAUUUAUAUGAUGAUCAAAUGCUACAUUCCCCCUUAUGAAUAUAUCAAGUGUGUGAUCAAAUCAGAACCUACGGCGGUAACAGAUCAAUGAUUAAAAACAGGUAAAAAGUGGAGGGAUUUGAAAAUGUGUGGGGAAAAACAUAGGAAUCAAAUGAUUAUGGUUUGGGGUUUUGUUAGGACAAUUUCAAGAUUCAAGGAAGUGGACAAGAGAGAGAAGAGAAGAGAAGGCAGAUGUAGCAAUAGAAAG